CACUCUACCAUUUCAGAAUCCAUGAACGAGCCUCAUGAUAUUGAAACGAAGAUCUCGAGAAAAGACACAGACCUCCGCCACUGUGAGAUACUGCUGUAACCAGACAUUUUAAGCUUUCUUAAUGAACAAUUUGACUAGUAAUAGUAUCAACCUACCACUGAAAAUGGUAAACAUUGUACACCGUACCGAACAGUAGAACCGGUGUCCCUUUUAACAUUUUAAGAAAUGCAACCGAUUGAUAAAUGGAACCGGAUUAAUCAUUUUAAACGUUUUCAUAAAUCUGCAAGUAUUGCUAUUAUAUCAUAAUAUUAUAACAAUUUAUUUCAGACCCUUACUCAGUAGGAACGAACCUUUCAACUGACAAAACAAAAUGUGAACCCUUUGUAAACCUUUUUAGGCAGCUGUGAAUAAAUCCAGGAACGAGCCUCAUGAUAUUGAAACGAAGAUAUCGAGAAAAGACACGGACCUCCGCCACUACCCUUACUCAGUAGGAACAAACCUUUCAACUGACAAAACAAAAUGUGAAGCCUUUGUAAACCUUUUUAGGCAGCUGUGAAUAGUAAGUACAAGAAGUGAAAAAUAUUCUUCUCGUUUGAAUGUUUCUACAAACUGUUCAAUAAUCAUUACUUCAUGAAAUGUGAUCAUUUCUACUUUUACGUUCCAAACACGAACUGUGGUGUUUACCAAAGACUUUUAUAUAUAUAAUACCAGAUUUUUGUCACUCUACCUUUUCAGAAUCCAUGAACGAGCCUCAUGAUAUUGAAACGAAGAUCUCGAGAAAAGACACAGACCUCCGCCAUUGUGAGAUACUGCUGUAACCAGACAUUUUAAGCUUUCUUAAUGAACAAUUUGACUAGUAAUAGUAUCAACCUACCACUGAAAAUGGUAAACAUUGUACACCGUACCGAACAGUAGAACCGGUGUCCCUUUUAACAUUUUAAGAAAUGCAACCGAUUGAUAAAUGGAACCGAAUUAAUCAUUUUAAACGUUUUCAUAAAUCUGCAUGUAUUGCUAUUAUAUCAUAAUAUUAUAACAAUUUAUUUCAGACCCUUACUCAGUAGGAACGAACCUUUUAACUGACAAAACAAAAUGUGAACCCUUUGUAAACCUUUUUAGGCAGCUGUGAAUAAAUCCAGGAACGAGCCUCAUGAUAUUGAAACGAAGAUCACGAGAAAAGACACGGACCUCCGCCACUGUGAGAUACUGCUGUAACCAGACAUUUCAAGCUAUCUUAAUGAACAAUUUGACUAGUAAUAGUAUCAACCUACCACUGAAGAUGGUAAACAUUGUACACCGUACCGAGCAGUAGAACCGGUAUCCCUUUUAACAUUUUAAGAAAUGCAACCGAUUGAUAAAUGGAAUCGGAUUUUUUUGAGAGAUAAGUUUAAAUCAUUCUGAACGUUUUUAUAAAUCGGCAUUCACCGAGAAAUUAAGAGAUUUAUUUUGAAAUUUAAAAAAUAAAUGUUUUGCGGGGUGUGAUUAUUUUUUUAAAAGGUGUAUAUUAUUACUUACCAUUUUUAACUGAUAUGAUG